CAAUAGCGUAUAUUAAAGUCGUUGCAGUUAAAAAGCUCGUAGUUGGAUUUCUGGUUGAAGCGACCGGUCGGGCGUUGAUUCGUCUGCACUGGAGUCGGUUUUGGCCAUCCUCUAGGAAAGUGCGUCUGGUAUUAAGUUAUCGGGCGUAUGAUCCUGGUCUUUUACUGUGAAAAAAUUAGAGUGUUUAAAGCAGGCCUUCGCCUUGAAUACAUUAGCAUGGAAUAAUAAGAUAGGACUUUGGUCUAUUUUGUUGGUUUGCAGACCGAAGUAAUGAUUAAUAGGGAUAGUUGGGGGUAUUUAUAUUCCGAUGUCAGAGGUGAAAUUCUUAGAUUUUCGGAAGAUAAACUUAUGCGAAAGCAUUUACCAAGGAUGUUUUCAUUAA
rnacentral:rRNA from 1 species